AAGCAUAUGAUGAAUUUCUCGGAUUCCCCUUCAAGACAUUGUGGAUGAUGCAAACCCGAGAUUCUGAUGCA